GAUGAACGCUGGCGGCGUGUUUAACACAUGCAAGUCGAACGAAGCGCUUAAACGGAUUUCUUCGGAUUGAAGUUUUUGCGACUGAGUGGCGGACGGGUGAGUAACGCGUGGGUAACCUGCCUCAUACAGGGGGAUAACAGUUAGAAAUGACUGCUAAUACCGCAUAAGCGCACAGUGCUGCAUGGCACAGUGCGAAAAACUCCGGUGGUAUGAGAUGGACCCGCGUCUGAUUAGCUAGUUGGUGGGGUAACGGCCUACCAAGGCGACGAUCAGUAGCCGGCCUGAGAGGGUGAACGGCCACAUUGGGACUGAGACACGGCCCAAACUCCUACGGGAGGCAGCAGUGGGGAAUAUUGCACAAUGGGGGAAACCCUGAUGCAGCGACGCCGCGUGAGCGAAGAAGUAUUUCGGUAUGUAAAGCUCUAUCAGCAGGGAAGAAAAUGACGGUACCUGACUAAGAAGCACCGGCUAAAUACGUGCCAGCAGCCGCGGUAAUACGUAUGGUGCAAGCGUUAUCCGGAUUUACUGGGUGUAAAGGGAGCGUAGACGGUUGUGUAAGUCUGAUGUGAAAGCCCGGGGCUCAACCCCGGGACUGCAUUGGAAACUAUGUAACUAGAGUGUCGGAGAGGUAAGCGGAAUUCCUAGUGUAGCGGUGAAAUGCGUAGAUAUUAGGAGGAACACCAGUGGCGAAGGCGGCUUACUGGACGAUCACUGACGUUGAGGCUCGAAAGCGUGNGGAGCAAACAGG
rnacentral:rRNA from 1 species